rnacentral:rRNA from 1 species
CGCAUCUUCCUAGUGAUUUCUGUUUGAUCCCGGCAGAGGCUACUGCUAUUGGGAUUCACUUAAGCCAUGCGAGUUGAAUGAAUUUAGAUUCAUGGCGUACGGCUAGGUAACCCGAGAACCCCCCCAGGGNNNGGGGNNAAACCUCUGGGAAACUGGGGAUAAUACCGGAUAUUAGGCUAUGGCUGGGAUGCUUUGCCCCUUUGAAUGUUCUUUGUAUCGCCCUAGGAUAGAUCUGCGGCUGAUUAGGUCGUUGGUGGGGUAUGGCCCACCNAGCUAUGAUCNGUACGGGGUGUGAGAGNCAGAGCCCGGAGAUGGAACCUGAGGCAAGGUUCAGACCCCUCGGGUUGCACAGGCGCGAACCUCCCCAUGUACGAAGUCGCACCGGGGGGAUCCAAGGG